GUUUCCUCAAUAGGGGCGAGUGAAGUAAAAGCUAGAUAAUAUCUUAUAAGAUCUUUUUUUUUUUUUUCUGUCUUGUACUUCUUGGAAAAGGGGCUUGGACUAUUGAAUUGGAAGGGAACAAUUAAAACAGACUUUAAAAUGAAGCCCUGACAUGCUGGCUGCUUGCCUGCUGUGUCGGGGCAGCUCUGUUCCAGGGAGACAGAAUGCCUUUUUGUUUGUUUGUUUGUUUCCAGACAAUUUCCUGCGUCAUCACAUUUUUUUUUGAGCCAAGUGUUUGAGGUUGGUGAUGUUGACAGAGCCCUGGAGAAUGGAAGGAGUUCAUCUCCACAGACAAAAGCUUUGUAUUUCAAGUUUAAAAAUUCCAGAAUAUUUUUCUAUUAUAUUGCUAUUCUUAGUUUUUUUAUGCCCCUUUGUGGGGGAAGACUGGUCUCCCCUGUAUCUAAUUUUCAGCCUUUAGGUGGGUCCCUCUUGUAAGUCAAGAAAGCACGUUAGAAAAACCAUUCCUCUUGGCAUUUAUGAAACUUGCAAUAGCGUAUCUUGCUCUGCUAAGUAGUACAUGCAGUAUGCCCAGAAGGCUUAGGGUUAUUAUUAGUAGUAGUAGUGGUAUAUGUUCUAUAUUUAUUCAUAUUUAAUUUCACUAUAAUAGGGUCAUUGCAUACCAGGUGACAUUUAUUCAGGAAGUAUUGGGGAAAAUAUAAAAUAUAGUUGAGCUAUAAUGAAUUAUGAUGAUUUACAUUUAUUAACAAAUUUCCUUUUAUUAGUAAGUCACCCAAGACUGCUUUUGACAGUUUGAAAACAGAAACGUUGAUACUUUUUUUUUUCCUGGUAAGAUUUUGAACUCUUUUAAGUAAAGUAUAAACUCUUGUUCAGAAUUAAGUCCUUAACCUGUCUCCAUAGCACCUCUGAUUGAAAGAAGUUGUUGCAGUUUAUAAAGGACUUAUUUGUGGUAGGUGGAGGUGGUGGUGUUGGGGAGGUGGGAAUUGGGGGAGGAGGGAGUAUGAAGUACCCAAAUAUUUAUCUAGCUUCUAUUAUGUGCCAGGGGCUAGGCUAGACAUCUGUAUGUUAUCCUUUUAUAAACUGCCAUUUCUGAAUCUAUGAAAAUGGCCCUCAUGAUUAGGUGGGAUUUAGAGAAGAACUAGAAAAUAUUAUUUUUUUAACCUAUACUUAUAAAAGAGUGCUAUUAAAAGCUCAUUUAACGUGAGUGCUUCUUUUUCUUCCUCUGCUUUAGAUUUAAACUCUUUUUCUAUAAGCUAAUCAAUACACAACAUUCUUAAGCAUGUUAUAUGAAAGGAGUGGCAUUAUGAAACGUGGGGACAUUACAUAGAGUAAUACAAUAAAAGGUAAAGGAUUAAGUAGUCUAAGAAUUUUAGAACUAAAAAUAAUUUUCAAAACCACUUGGACCAUUAAUUUCAUCUGGCAGUCGAGAAAACUGUUGCCCUGAAGCAUAUCAGCCUUGCCCAAGAGAGCCCAUUAAUGCAGACAGAAGAGAACCUAGGUUGUUUAACUGCCAGUUCACUCUUCUUUCUACUGUAUCCUAAUUCUGUUUCCUGCCUUACUUUAGAAGGAGCAAUCCACACGAGCUUUACAUCCUGAAUACGAACAAUAAUACUAGCAAUAACAAACUAUUAUGUUUAAAAAUAUAGUUUACACCUCUUGGUUGAUUGUUGGUUGGUUUCUGUUUGGUUUGUCAAAAGGCUUUAGGGAGCCAGGUAUUAGAUAGGUCAUGGCCUCACCUAUUAUUUUCAAAAUUGGAGAAAAGUAAUUCUAGAAGAAUCCCCUUAGAUAAGCUUUUAAACUAUGCAUUUAAAUGUGUAGGUAGUUGUACUCUCUGCUGUGAUGGUCCUAGAAGACAUUGCUCAGGUCACAGCUUAUUAUUUUUGAGGCCAUAGAAAGGGAAAGAGGCUUUGCCCUGAUGUAUCCCAUGAAAUGAAUAACAGGCAACAUUUAGGGAAACCUAGUUGAUGGAGACUAUUCUCACCACACUCUUUCCAUGGCCCUUUUUCUCCUUCCCCCACACCAUUUAAACUCUCCUUGACUAAAUGCAAUGAACAGGAACCAUUGUAUGAAUCGGAAGGAAAGUGUCUUAAAUAUAUGAAGUUAUAAUGACUUGGUAAGUGCUAUAAAAAUAUUCUGCAACUGAGUUAGAAAUUGCAUCAUCCAUGCCUGUGGCACUAUGGACUGGGCCCAAACGGUGUAAUUCUCCAGUGUAAUACUGAAGUAAUUUUUGCAUCUGCCAAGUAAAUAGUUUAAAUUUCAAACCUGUGAAAUGGCAAGCUAUAAUUGUUCAAUUCCAGUGAACCACAGGUGUAUUUAAUUUCCUUCCUUUACUUCUCGCUGUCUUUUUUAGGUAGGCCGAACCAACUAAAUAAAGAUUGUGCUCUUGUAUGAAUCUACAAGCCUUCUGGCAAUAAAAAAAGAAAAAAAAAAUCAAGCUAUGGAACAUUUAUACUGAAAGCAAGCCCUUUCUGUUAGCCACCUAAAAAUGAUGGUAACAAAGAAGACAAACCAGAAUUUGCAUGUGCUAUUCAUUGACUUGAUUGAAGAUCUUUUUCCUGAAUAAGAAAAAGUUCUACACCCAUAUAUUUCAGUAAGUAUACAACCUCUCUAUCUGGAUGGCCUAUGAUAAUUUCUACUCAAUACCUACAAAACUUAAGUUAAUAUAAUGUUCCUGAAUUUCCUCACUCUGUGAAUGGAAGCACCCUUCUCUCAAGCCACAAAACUCUCAUCCCUUCCCCUCAAAGUCUAUGGAUUUGGCUCUCAGUAUUUUAUGCCCUUUCUCUCCAUCGCCCUGUUACUACCUUAAUUGAACUCUUGCUGUCUGUCACUGGUUGGCUGCAAUUGUCUUCCUGCAACUAGAUUUAUCCGAUUGCUGUCUAUUCUCAUACCAUUUCCAGAUUAACCUUCCCCAAAUGCAAAUCAUAAAGUGUUACUUUGUCACUUAAAAAAGGUUAGUGGUUUCUUGUGUCCUACAGGACAAGAUCUAAACUUAUAUUGAUUAUUGAGGUCUUAGUGAUCUUUGCCUUGUUUCUGGCUUCGAAUCCUCUUGUAACCUAUGCCCCAGCCACAUUGACAGUUUAUGGGUUCCUAAACAUCCACAUUGUUGAACACUCUACACUCUUCCCAGAGGUAGGACUCAGUUGAUAGAUUGAAUGGAUGGAUGAAGUAAACCUUAUGACCAUAUCUACCUGUUCAAAUCCCACUCCCUUUUCAGUAUUGAAUGGAAAUGGCCUUAAAAAGUACCCAGAUUAAGGGGGCACCAGGGUGGCUUAGUUGUUUAAGCAUCCGACUUUGGCUCAGGUCAUGAGCUCACUGUUUGUGGGUUCGAGUCCUUUGUCGGGCUCUGUGCUGACAGCUCAGAGCCUGGAGCCUGCUUCGGAUUCUGUGUCUCCCUCUCUCUCUGUCCCUCUCCUGCUCACACUCUGUCUCUCUCUCAAAAAUAAACAUUGAAAAAAAUUUUUUUGAAGUACCCAGAUUAAGAUUUGAUAGGUGUACUAGGUUUUUAUUUACUAUUCAUAUGAUUGAGGGGGCAACAAGAAUGUCCUUGUAGCCCCUCCACCUACCCAAAGAUUUUAUGGAUAGUCUGAAAUUUCACCAUGAAGACUCAUUUGUUAAGGUUCUGAUAUUCCAUUUAUAUUUCUUUCCCUCUUAUAACUUUAUAGUUACAAAGUACUUCCAUGAACAAAUGUUAUCUUAUUUAAUUUUGAAAACAAUCUUAUGAAGAUUUUUAUCAUAUAUGCUUUAGAGAUAAAGAAAUACAACUUCAAGGCAAUUUACCAAUCUAAGGUCAUUCCAUUGACAUGGUGGAGCUAGGGCUUGAGCCUAGGUUCAUUGAUUCCAGCAUCCUCUUUUCCUCAGGCUCUUACCUUAGAAGGAGACACAAAUGUAUUAGCAGUUAAAUACCUUAGUGUAUAUUAGUCACACAGAUCACUUGCUCCAUGCCACUCACCAAGAGGAGAAUUCUGAGGAAAUGAGAGUUGUAAAUUCUAUAUUGGAAAAGAGAAACCGAUUACAGAGAGAAGAUGGAGCAUAGUUUUGGAGGCUGGGGCAAGCCUAGGGAAGUUAGACUUUGGUGAGAUGUGACAAUGGGCCUAGGAUGGACACUAUCUUAAUAUAAAUGUACAAAAUUCAUAUUUCUUCAUUCACCACUUCUUCGUGAAAACUACAUUUUGUUCUUCAAAUUUUUAUUUGAAUUCUAGUUGGUUAACAUGUAGUGUAAUAUUGGUUUCAGGAUAGAAUUUAGUGAUUUGUCACAUAUAAAACCUUGUGCUCAACACAAGUGCCUUCCUUAAUACCCAUCACCCAUUUAGCCCACCUCCCUCCAUUAACCCUCAGUUUGUUCUCUAUGGUUAAGAGUCUCUUAUGUUUUCCUUCCCUCUCUUUUUUUCCCCCUUCCCCUGUAUUCAUCUGGCAAAAACUACAUUUUAACUUAACCUUAAUAAAAGGUGUGUAGAAAGUUUCUAUCAUCAUUAUAUUGAUAAUCAUCUAGAUCUUAUCAAAGUACAAGAUGCUGAAUAUUAGAAUCAUAUACUUGAUAUCCCCAUAAGAGUUCUUUAAAAAUCUUUAAUAUAAUCGUUUCAUUGGGAAACACAAGCUAUUUUUAUGAUACAGGUAACACUGGUGGGGUUAAGAUCUGUUCUUUGUCUUUCAUGUGGGAGGCUUUCUUUAAAAGUCUGCUGAUCUUUGGCAAUCCAUUCAUAUUGGAGAACAAGAGGUGCAAGCACAUGCGCACACACACACACACACACACACACACACAAACACACUGGUAAUUCUAGGUAUAUGGGCAGUUAUGUUGAUUGGUGUCUCCAUUAGAGGGUUGUGGGCACGGAUCCCAGUAUUUUGUAGGUGGAGCUCCACAUACCCUCAUCUGUAUAUCUUUUCUUUAUAGCUCAUCUCUAUGUGUAGAGAGGAACCUUCCAAUUUUCUUUUUGGGGGUGAAACAGAUGGUCAUCAGAGUUUAGGGGGCUGAGGGAAGGAAAGAGGCAAUAGAUGGGGAUCUUGCUCUCCCCAUACAUAGACUUUUAUUAACCUCCCAGUUUGGUUCAGUUUGGUUCAGUACAUUCCCACCUCCGCUUUUUUUCUUUGAGUCCAGAAUCUGUUUAGGUACACUUCUCCAGAGAAUAAACCCUCUGAAGCAUGUGCAGGACACACAACCAAACUAAGAGUGUGGGUAAGAUUCAAACAGUGGGGAGGGUGAGGAAACCUUUCUGUGCAAGAAUAAUACAACCAAAGACAUGAAGUUGGAGGCAAACCAGAGUGAAUGGGAAAUAACCAAUAAUUCACCUUACCUAGAGUGAAGCACACAUGAAGAACUGAGUUAGGAGCAAAAUAAAGGUGGUAACAGAGACUGCAGCUUCAAAGAGAAUACUAAGAAGCCUAGACUUUUUUCUGGAGGUGCCAAGGAGCCAGCUUCCUCAUACUAGUUCAUUAAAUUAUGAAGACAGCUUCUGAGUGCAUGGUAGAUGACUAGCAGGGGGUCACGCAUGAAUUGAGUUGGGAUGCUUCUCUGUGAUUUUGACACAAUUGACUGUGUUUCUGUUGGGGUCUCCACACCCAAAGUAUUUCAUAUGCAUAAUGCUGGAGCUUACAGAUCCUCAGAGGGUUAUCAUGCUUGGGAGGCUUGAUGUUCUUUUUUGUGAUCUGCACCUUUCUGAUAGUGAAACCGUCUUGUUCUAAUGUGAGAGCUCACAGACGUCUCCCGUCUUCUAGAUGUUAUCAGUUACAGCACUCCUGCAGGUGGGCCGCAUGGCCAUGGAGCCAGAGACCCUCAGAUGAGAAGAGGCUUGAAAGGACCUUAAAACUUUGUAAAUGCAGUUUUACUAAAUGUCAUAGAAAUGGACUCCUAGGAUUUUUAUGCCAUUUAAUCGGGAGCAAAACGAGAGAUGAAAUGUUUGUUGCCUAGUACCUUGCUCCGUUCUGCAAAGGCCUUUUAUGCUUUUGAUGAUGAUGGUAGUGAUAAUUUAGAAACAUGUUUUGCCCACGUAUGUGUACUAUAGUAAGACGGUUUUCUUUCUGAGCAGCCUAGGAAGAACGUUCUUUUUUAUAGGCCUCAGAUACAAGUUCUCUCCCUCAGACUGUUUGCCCAAGCCUUAAAAAUACGGCAUGAUUACACAAGCACUCUGGAAUUUAGAUUAAGCAGCAUUCAAUUCGAAAAUCUAAUCACAUCAUCUAAAUAUCAUUAAGUUCUAAUAGGCUGAUUGAUAGGGACCAAAGCUGUUUUUGCCUGGUGCUGCAUGCCUUUCCCUCAGCCAGCCUUUUCAAACUAAGAUGUUGAUAAAGGCAUCUAUAAAUCUUAAUAGUUGGAGACAGUUUAAAAGCAUAGUUCACUAGGUAAGGUCACACCCACUUAAGUGACCUAUUUUGUAUACUUUUCAAAAAUAGGUUAAUUAACUUAAUAGAAAUAAUAGGACUCUCGUAUUGAUGUGCAAUUACUACUAAAACAAGUUUUUUUUUUUUUUCUUUCCAAGUGAACACGAUGUUCAUGAAAUUGAGGGCAUAAUAGCCAUGACAAGAACCAGGCUUAGCAAGGCAGGUCAUGUGCAGUGAGUACAUUUCAGACUUGCCCUUUAAAACCUGCUUUUAUUCCAGUGCUGGGAUGUGGGGAUACCUCCACUAAAGCAUUUCACUCCCAGCACUCUCUCAGUUUGCACUGCGUGGGGGUGGAUUAUUCUAGCUGUUGUUGUUUUCCCAAUCACUAAAACAGCAGUCUAUGUAGGCCCUGUUCCCUAAAGACUUCAGCAUGCAUAGGAACCUCAAUGAAUCUCAGUCUCUCUUCUUUUUAAACUGAGGCUGUUUUCUCCAUUUUUCUAACAAAUGAUUCAUCUGGUAUCCCGGGAGAAGCAUGGUUUCAAAGGAGACUGCAGUGUAGGAGGGCAAGGGAGUGCCCAGGCAAGAGUCCUAUUUGGGACAAGUUACAUUAUCCUAAAGCAGCCUCGUUUUAUUUAUUUUUUGUUGUUGUGUAGUGCCUGAUUCAAAUUUUCUGCUCCCAAAGCAAAGCAUUUUAUCCUAGUCUUAGACCUCUUGCUGAUGGUUAUAACCUUUUAAUUCUAUUAUUGAUCGCUAACUUUGCAUAAUUUGAUUUUUCCAUUCAUCUGUUCCUUACAAUAUACCUCACUGAUGUUUUAUAUCAUAAGUUGAGCAUAUGAGUAUUAUAUUAUUCUUCAGAACUUUUAUUUAUUUAA